rnacentral:lncRNA from 1 species
CUAUAUCUGGUAAUCUCUAGAACCUUCCCCCACCCCCUCUGCUCUGAUGAGUUUCUCUCACCUUCUCUGGCCACCUUCUGUCCUGAAUCCAUAUUGGUCUCACCACCUACCAGCCUUCCAUGGUUCAUACACGCUUGGUUUCUGAAGUUUCAUGGUCUGACCAUGAAGAUGCUUCAUCCAGACCUUGUUUGAUUCAAGUUUUAUGGCCAUAUCUGGCCUUGCUCCGGUAAACCAUGUUCAUUUUAAGCCUGACUUCGACUCAUCCUUCUUAAAUCUAUCCAAACCUUUCUCACCGUUUGGGUUCCUCUGAAACUUUAGCUUUUGAGGUUCUUAUAUUUCUUUAGAUCUGUUCUAGAUCCGUAUUUUCCCUAAACUUUUAAAUUAUUUCUUGUUAUUUCUUUCAAAAGUUAUGCUUUUAAAACCUUUAUUUUUUUUCCGAUCUAGGUUUUUGAGUUAUUUAGAUGUUCCUUCUACUGUGUUCUUUGUGUGUUUCUUCUACAGUGUUUCUUGUUAAGUUUGUUCUACCAUGUUCUUAUCAGUUUCCUCUAUUGGUUUUAUAUCUUUCUCUACUAUGUUCUUUAUACGUUUCUCCUACUGUGUUCUUGUUAAGUUUAUUCUAAUAUGCUUCUUAAUAUGCUUCUCCUACUAUUCUUAUUUAUUUCUUCCAUUAGAUUUCUUAUCAGUUUUGCUGCUAUGUUUCUUUGAGUUCCUCUACUGUGUUUCACAUGUUGUUCUUCUACUACGCUUCUCACAAGUUCCUGUUAAUGCAAGAGCAUGUUAAAGGUCUCGGUUCUUUUCUGAGACCUCUAAACAUGUUUCGAUUAGUAUCAUUUUCCUUGAUUACUUGUCCUCUCAUCUCUGCACUUGAUUGAUGAUAAACCCCUAGAAUUUGGAGGUUCAUCCGAGUUUGAGAAUAUUGCCUAUCUGAUAUGCUUGUUCUUCACCUUUGAAAUUGUCUAAUUUUAGAAACCCUAACUAUUUCGAGUUUCUGAAUUUGUUUCAUUUGUUGCUCAACUGAGUCUUGAAAUCUUUGUUUCAACCUUUGUUUCUUUAAGUAAUUCUGAUUUUCCACUAAACUCUUCUAAGGUCUUUACACUGAACCUUUUAUAUGUUAUUUGAUACUAUCUCUCUAUUACACUGCUGACCUAUGUGACUAUCAUGAUCCUAUAGUCUAUUACCUACUGAUUUUGCAAUGGCAUGACAUUUUUCUUUACCCUAAAUUCAGUUUAGCAUGUUUGUGUGCUAUUUAUAUGUGCUGAGCUUUCCUCUAAAAUGGAUUUCAAUUUUGAUUAAUUUAAGACUUUCUUUGUAUAUGUUUGAUUGAUUUGUUUCCUUGUUUUUUGACAUGGUUCAUUCAUGGACCAGUGAUUACAAAAUCACUGAUCCUUGAUUUAUUGUCUAUUAAUUGAUUUUUCACCUUAUUUAUGUAAUCGUGUGUUUCAAAGUUCUGCCCUUAAUAAAUUUCUUAUGCAUUUACCCCUAAUUGCCAACAUUGCACAAAAUGUUUGUUUGUUCUCUUUUCUUAAAUAAUUUCCUUGAUCAUCACCAUUUAAGUUCCAUAAUUAAAGGAAGUCUUUUUUUUAUUGAUCUUAAUUGAUACCCAGUUCCUCAAUUAUUUUCUUACCUUGUUUCUGCCUGUUUUUCACACUAUAAAUAUACGCCUCUUUCAUUAACAAACAUCCAUCAUUGAUGGUCUUUCUAAACUUACACUUACACAGAAAAGUAUUCUCUCUUGUUUUCGUAUACUGUGGCCUGUUACAAGACCAAUUGCUUACUUUCUCUCUAUUUGUUUCUUUGAAACUAGUAUGUCCUUAUUUAAAAUUUGAACCACAACAAUGUGUUUAUUUAUUGCUUUUGUAUCCCUAUUUUGAUGCAUAGGUAUAGUUCAUCAAUCAUUCUAGCAUAUUGAUUUUUUUCUGUAUGUUUUACUAUGAAUCUAAAACCCCUACCCCCUAUGUGUUUAUGCUAUGGUUUGAGGCAUGGAAAUACUGCAAGUUAUUGUCCAUGAAUCAAAUUUGAUCCCAUGGGAUCCUAGCCUCUAAUAACAUGUGUUCUGGCAGGCUUAUAUGUGUGCUAGAACUCUCCAUUGCUAGGUAUGCCUAAAAUCUGCCCUUGCCUAAGCAAUUGGCUUUUUACAAUCUCCCUAUUCCCUGAACCCCUUAUGUGUGCUUAUUUUUUAGUUGUUAAUCAUUCCCUGAGGGAUGACCUUUCCAUACUGCACUUGUCCCAAUCUGAUAACAUAUUUGGGCGUGAGCAUUGCCCGGAGUUCCUUUAAGACUCUUAUGGAACUUUGACAUACUCAAAUGGGAGAAAGGCUUUGAUCAUGAUCUCAUGGAGUUGGUUUACCUCAUAUUUCAGACAUAAAGUCUGAAUCAGGCUCUCCUUGGUUGUACUUUUACUUAUAUUUUCUGAUGUAUUUUUUUUAAUUAUUCUAUGAUGAUUUAUAAUAAACUCUUUGGGAUGGUUAUUAAAAAGGGGCGGGUAACUAUGUAUGCAAAAAGGGUAGAAACCAUGCCUAUAGGUAUUUUAAAUCUGCAUGCAUAUAGAAAUCAUGCCUAUAGGUUCUUCUGAAUCCUGUAUAUCCAUUUUUAUCUGGAAGUCUGAAUUCUGAAUAUGCAUAUAGAAAAUAAGCCUAUAGGUCCUUCUGAAUUCUGUAUAUCCAUUUUCAUCUAGAUAUCAAGUUCAUAGGCCUUAUAUAUUUUCUGUACUUAGAUUUUAUGUUCAUAGGUAUUAUAAAACCAAUUGCACUUAGAUAUCAUGAUCAUAGGUCUUAAACAAUCAACUGCACUUAGCUAGUAUAUGCACAAUUUUUGCACUUAGAUAUUAUAUUCAUAAAUUUAGAACGAGUCUUCUGCAUUUUAUACCAUGUUCAAAAAACAACUACGCGUAGAAAGCAUGCCUAUAGGAAAUCCUAAUAGAAUCUGAGCCGCUUCAUUCUCAUAUGGAACUGAAAUCAGUAACAACGGUACUGUUAGCUGUCGAACUUAUAACCUUUCACUAAAAGCUGACCUUUCUUUUACAAUCUGACUACCAUUUAACUAGUUCGUGGCCAAUUUACUUUAAACCUUGUUAUUUCAUUGCUUUCUGAAUUCUAAAAAUAUCAUGCCUAUAGUAUCCUUGUCCAACAAUUGGGAAGCAUUAGGGUAAAGUUAUAAUUUAAAUCAGUUCCGUUAAUGACUACAACCAGCGGGAAAGCCUGAUUUGGUUUUUUUGUCUGAAUUAUAUAAUAAAUCAGUCUGCCUCAACCUUUAAGCUCUUGCAUGUUUAGUACUUAAUCAGACCUUAAUUGGUAUGUGUAAGUCAUGCUAAUUAUCUGUUUCUUUGUUUGAAGGGGUUAUAUCUGAGCCUUUGCUUGUUAUGUAUUUUUCCCCAAACUUGCUAUACAUGUUUUGUACGCCGCCUUAGAAUUUUUUCCAUUAAAACCACAAAUAAGCCUAUUUUAUUUAUGGUUCUUAUGGUUCUUAUAUUUAGAUAAUUAUUUACUCUAUUUCUACUGGAGUUGCUAAUGCUCUUAUGUUAUUGUUUUUGUUUUUCCUUUCCUUCACUGAGCCGAUGGUCGAUUUGAAUAAAAGGUUCGUUUGCAAUUUUCAUUAAUUUUAGCUCGACCGAUUUGCAAUUUUUAUUUUUUUUUCAUCAAUAAAAGGUUCAUUUCUCAAUUUUUAUUCUCAUUUCAUUGCGUUAUGAUAACUCGGUUCUAGUGUUGGUUGAUUUGUGAAUAUACGUUCCUUGAGUAGCAUGUCUUAGUUUUCAUUUAAAUUGUCUUUAUUAGUUUUCAUUUUGAUUGUGGUGUGUGUAGUCUUGGUCCUUGAAUAAAUUCUUUUAAUUGGGUAUAUGGUAUAUUUGGUGUUUUUUCUUUCUUGGCAAGGAAUAAGAAUGAG